rnacentral:rRNA from 1 species
UUCCAGACUCCUACGGGAGGCAGCAGUGGGGAAUAUUGCACAAUGGGGGAAACCCUGAUGCAGCGACGCCGCGUGAGUGAAGAAGUAUUUCGGUAUGUAAAGCUCUAUCAGCAGGGAAGAAAAUGACGGUACCUGAUUAAGAAGCCCCGGCUAACUACGUGCCAGCAGCCGCGGUAAUACGGAGGAUGCGAGCGUUAUCCGGAUUUAUUGGGUUUAAAGGGUGCGUAGGCGGGAUGCCAAGUCAGCGGUAAAAAUGCGGUGCUCAACGCCGUCGAGCCGUUGAAACUGGCGUUCUUGAGUGGGCGAGAAGUAUGCGGAAUGCGUGGUGUAGCGGUGAAAUGCAUAGAUAUCACGCAGAACUCCGAUUGCGAAGGCAGCAUACCGGCGCCCUACUGACGCUGAGGCACGAAAGCGUGGGGAUCGAACAGGAUUAGAUACCCUGGUAUUG